rnacentral:rRNA from 1 species
GACGAACGCUGGCGGCGUGCUUAACACAUGCAAGUCGAACGCUGAAGCUCAGCUUGCUGGGUGGAUGAGUGGCGAACGGGUGAGUAACACGUGAGUAACCUGCCCUCUUCUUUGGGAUAACGCCCGGAAACGGGUGCUAAUACUGGAUAUUCACUGAUUCUCGCAUGGGGGUUGGUGGAAAGGUUUUUUCUGGUGGGGGAUGGGCUCGCGGCCUAUCAGCUUGUUGGUGGGGUGAUGGCCUACCAAGGCUUUGACGGGUAGCCGGCCUGAGAGGGUGACCGGUCACAUUGGGACUGAGAUACGGCCCAGACUCCUACGGGAGGCAGCAGUGGGGAAUAUUGCACAAUGGGCGAAAGCCUGAUGCAGCGACGCCGCGUGAGGGAUGGAGGCCUUUGGGUUGUAAACCUCUUUCGCUCAUGGUCAAGCCGCAGCUUUGGGUUGUGGUGAGGGUAGUGGGUAAAGAAGCGCCGGCUAACUACGUG